rnacentral:antisense_RNA from 1 species
AUAGUUACUUGGGACAACAGUUUUAGCAGGGCUCUCUCCUUUCCUGAUCUCUGUGUUAAGCUGCCUGCCUCAUUUGAUAUCACAUCCAAAUUAUCAGCUGAUUGCUCUGUUGUUUUGGACAAUGCCCUGGGGCAUACCAAAAUGUGUCUGGAAUUGGUGGGUUCUUGGUCUUACUGACUUUAAGAAUAAAGUUGCAGACUUUUGUGGUGAUCCACUCUACCUCAUAUUGUCUUAUAAUGGCCAUCCAGUUUAUCCUAGAGCCCUUGUAUGACACAUGCCUAUUGGAGCAUAGGAAUGCCAAUAUUUUACCUCUUGGGUACUUUCUGUGUAGAAGAUUCAUAACAAGAACAAUGCUUAUUCUGCAAUUCUUUAUAUAAAGCUCCAGAGGGAAGUGAGAAGGAUGUUCACUUGCUGGUGAGAGAAGGAGCUGGUUCCAUCCAUUAUGCAGUCCCCUGGGAGCGCUAAAUGCAACUUUAUCUCAACGGGGAGUGGACGAUGAGCAGGACGUCGCUAGAGGGAAAGAGCCUCACUUCCCGUUUCCUUUGGCAGCGCCCUUUUCCCGACCUAA